rnacentral:misc_RNA from 1 species
GCAAACUUGGUCAUUUAGAGGAAGUAAAAGUCGUAACAAGGUUUCCGUAGGUGAACCUGCGGAAGGAUCAUUAUUGAAUAAACUUGGUUAGGUUGCUGCUGGCUCUUAGAAGCAUGUGCACACCUAUUCCGAUUUUAACCUCCUGUGCACUUUGUAUGGACCUGAAAAUCUUUCGAGUGCUCUUUUUUGAGACUCGGAUUGGAAUCUGCUGUGUUUGAAAAGCCGGCUUUUUCUCAUCUUUUCAGGACCAUAUUUCAUCUACAUACUCCAUAAGUAUUAGAACGCCAUUUUCAGGCCCUGGAGCCUUUAAAAAUAUAUAUACAACUUUCAACAACGGAUCUCUUGGCUCUCGCAUCGAUGAAGAACGCAGC